rnacentral:rRNA from 1 species
UACGUAGGAUGCAAGCGUUGUCCGACUUUAUUGGGUUUAAAGGGUGCGUAGGCGGCCUCUUAAGUUAGUGGUGAAAACGCUCGGCUUAACCGGAUACCCGCCAUUGAUACUGAUAGACUUGAGUGCGACAGAGGGUGUUGGAAUGUGUGGUGUAGCGGUGAAAUGCUUAGAGAUCACGCAGAACACCAAUUGCGAAGGCAGAUGCCUAUGUCGUAACUGACGCUGAGGCACGAAAGAGUGGGGAGCAAACAGG